GACGAACCACACGAACGUUAUUCGGAAUUACUGGGCUUAAAGGGUGCGCAGGCGGCCUGACAAGUUGGGUGUGAAAUACCUCGGCUCAACCGAGGAAUGGCGCCCAAAACUGCCAGGCUAGAGGGAGAUAGAGGUGAGCGGAACUUAAGGUGGAGCGGUGAAAUGCGUUGAUAUCUUAAGGAACACCCGUGGCGAAAGCGGCUCACUGGAUCUCUUCUGACGCUCAGGCACGAAAGCUAGGGGAGCGAACGGG
rnacentral:rRNA from 1 species